rnacentral:snRNA from 1 species
GGAUGCAAGGGCUAUCUGCUUGAGAUACCUGUCACCACUGACAGCUGGGGUAGAUCUGGCUGAUCUAGCCGAUGUCCUCUUCCUCGCCUCCACUGCUCCAUGUGUGUCCCCCAGUCUUCCCAGGUAGAGGAAGACUGUCAAAGGCAAGGGCUUACGAGUAGCUGUGCUCCCAUGCUAGAGCUUCUAAUUGAGCUCUCAAGGCUCAUUUGUAGGGUAUCAUAGGAAGUCGAGCUCCAACACUGCAAACACAUUCACAUGAGGUGCUGCCUGUGGCAUUCUGCCUUGAUUU